CCCCUAGAUGUUCUGGGCCGCACGCGCGCUACACUGAACAGUUCAACAAGUCUUAACCUUGGCCGAUAGGUCUGGGUAAUCUUUGAACGCUGUUCGUGAUUGGGAUAGACCUUUGCAAUUAUGGGUCUUCAACGAGGAAUUCCUAGUAAACGCAAGUCAUCAGCUUGCAUUGAUUACGCCCCUGCCCUUUGUACACACCGCCCGUCGCACCUACCGAUUGAAUGGUCCGGUGAAAUCUCGGGACGGCGGCUUGGUCGCUUGCGUCCGACUGCUGAAACUUGAUUAAACCAUAUCAUUUAGAGGAAGGUGAAGUCGUAACA
rnacentral:rRNA from 1 species